rnacentral:lncRNA from 1 species
ACUGUUCCCCGAACCCUUGUGUCCAUGGCUCAUGUAGGAACAAUCCCUCUGGACACAGUUGUGUCUGUCAAACUGGGUAUAUAGGCACCAGAUGUGAAAAAGGUACGGAAUGUAAUGGAAAAAACAUUUUCAAGAAAAAGACAAACUUAAAAUUUAAUAUCUAUUCUAUAUACAUAUCUUUGUAAUGCUUAUUUUGUUCACAAUGCAAUAAACUUAAACUAAAAGCGUACCUGAAAGACAAGUAGUAAUAUUACUACGAAUAGCAACUGUUUAUAAUUAAAUAUUAGAUAAAAAAACACAUAUGAUGUGCAAGAUCAAGACAGACAAUGCUUGGUAACACGAAGGUCAGUUAACAAUUCAUCACAUGAACACAAACAUAGAAAAAAAAGCCUUCUGUUGCCAUCUUAAAUAAAAUAAAAUAAUCCAAAAAGUUCAUAGCUGUGCUAAACAAUAUUGUAUAGUAGAAUCAUGAGUAGUCUAAAUAAACUCAUCUGUGAACCCAGACUUCAAUUUUGAAAGCCAGGCAGUUAAUAUUACAUACCAACUUGGUAUGUGUCAAAUCAUGUGCGAUAAACCGUUGCUCUAUAUUACUACGUUUAACUGAAAAGGGUCAAAACAGUUUACCAGCGGAUUCUUCCAUAUUUUGAUAACCGAAGAUGACAAAUAAGUAAAAGUGAUACAGAUAUUAUAUGAAUAAUAAUCACAUCACCUUCACUACAUUUUAUGUUUAAAGAAAGACUACGCGUACAUCUUCAGUCAAAAUAUUCAUGAGACAACUUAUAGAAUGUAUUGUUCGUUGGAGAUAUCAACAGAAUGUAACUCUCAUAGUAAUCUAUUACUUUAUUUUUUUUUAUUUUUGCAGUUUUAGAUCGUAAGUAUAUCUAUCCAUGACUUAACUUGUGUGUAAGUUGCUUGAUUUUGAAUAUUCAUCAAAUGGUUUAAAUUUAUAAAAAAGGGUUUUUCAUACCAAUAUCAAAACUCAAAUCAUUACUUUUAGAGGCAAACAACACUUUAGUUAUUGAUACAAAUUUUUCCAAGUACAGAUUGGUUACUAUUAGUAUGGACAUUGCUAACCAUAUGAUAUUCGAUAAAGGCAACACUAGUAUAACGCUGGUCGAAAGUUACAAAAUAAAGUUGAGGGAAAUACAUCAAAUAUAAGAGAAAAACAACAUAACAACAUUUGCGUAAUAAGUGGAUUUCACUGUUGGCUCUCAAUAUUAGCAAUAAUUUUCACAAAAGUACUGCACAGAAAACUACAGAUAAAGCUAAACAUUAAGUUUCUUAUGCCUACCGAACUCAUGGUAUCCGAAUUGUUUUCAACCAUAAAAGGGAGUUGGAGGCUUUGUUUCCGUUGAUUUUACAUCCAAAACUCUAGACUGUUCGUGUUUAUGGUCCGCAUACACAUAUUAUCCCACUUAUACAGGGUGAUAAGUAAACUCAUCAUAGAUACUUCGCUUAAAAUAUUGUACAAAAAGACGCACAUUUCGUCAUCUGUAAUGCUCGAAUAGAAAAAGUAAAAAGGUAAAGUAUGAGAAGUAGAGCCCAGUAAAGUUCGAAGUUGAAGAGCAAUAAAAACUCUAAGAUUCGAAAGAUGUUGCCAAAAACAGAAAAAAAUUAUUCUUUUUGGGGGGAUAGAACAUCCUUAAUAUUUGAAAAACAUUUAAGUUUUCAAGUUAGUUGAUUUAUAGUUAUGAUCAUAUGAAUAAAUUGAAUACAUUUGUUAUAUAGUUUGUCAACACAUUAUAAUACGAAUUAGUGAUUUUCUACAGAAUCAUCUCGUAAAUGAUUUGAGGAUAUAUGUGAGAUUCCCAUUGUUGUUUUGAAAGUUCUUGUAUUACCUAUUCUAAAUAGAGUCAAUAAGUCGUGCCUAGAGUAUGAAGCAUCACAAGGGCUUAUGGACAGCGUUAGAAACCCGUGUGCUUAUGGUUUUUUGUAGUUGCAAUUCUAAAUGCAUUACCAAAACGUUUUGUUCGAUUUAGAUAGUUCAUGUUUUCUAUGUAGAUUCAUUUGACUUGACUGUAAAUCAUUCUCAUGGUUAGUCCUUCUCUGCACAAAUCAGGAAACUAAAACUCUUCUUCCAGUUGAUAAAAUCAAAUUUUCCGGCCUUUAGAUUAAAUCUCUUCAAUUUUAUUUGAUUCUCCCAAAGAUAUAAAUAAGAUUAGCUGUUUUUGAAAAACUUUUCGAAAUUUUGGUUCCACAAUUCUCUUCAAUUUUGUAAUUGACUUAACAAUGUGAACCUUUUUUACUCUUUUUCUUUCGAGCUGCACUAAAGAGUCUUUUUUAACGAAUUGUGCGUCUGGCGUACAAAAUUGUAAAUCUGGUAUCUAUUGUUAGUUUGUUACCUUUUGAACUGUCAUGAAAUAUAAUUGGUUUUUUCAACACAUAGGAAAAUACAACGGUUACCAGAUUUGAAACAAUAUUACGUUUAUUAGCAUCAAUUGUUCUGCAGCAGAUGUUCAUUUGAGGUCGAAAUAUUUUAAAAUUUGAAUUUUUAGUUUCUCUUUUUUGUUAUUGAUUUUGUUUAACGACUUUGAAUCGACUGCCACUACACAUCUCAUGAAGACGAUACACGUCUGGUCACUAAUUGAAAGCUUAGUUUCUUAAUUUAUUUUCAAACAAAAAGUAAAAAUACAAAAAUACUGAACUCCGAGGAAAAUUCAAAAAGGAAAAAUCCAAAAUCAAAAGGCAAAAUUGAUUGAACCUGGUGUUAUAGCUAGCUAAACGUCUCACUUGUAUGACAGUGGUAUCAAAUUCCAUUACAUUGUCAACGAUGCAUGAACAAAACAAACAUACUCAAAGAGUAAAAAAUGUCAAAAAUAGGAGUACAGCAGUCAAUAUUGUGUUAUCAUCUUAAUAUCACUAUAAAAACAACAAAUGUAACGAAGAAGCACAAAAAGGCAUACAUCAAAUUAACAUACUCAUUUUGUUUUUCUUAUACGACUUAAUUUAUCUAUGUAAAGUCUACCAAUAAAGGAUAGAAGGUUUUCAGUGGUUCAAAUUAUGACGGAAUACAUAAGUACAGUUUCACGUCAAAUGUAUAUCAUAAAAAUCAGACUUAACAGAAAAAGUAGUAUUAUUGAAUAAAAUAGUUUUGUCAUUCAUAGUAUGUGAAGAUCCAUAAGUAAAAGUAAUAUUAAUAAAUGAAAUAAUUUUGUCGUUCAAAGUAUGAUGUUUUACAUAACCACAGAGUCACUAAAAAAAAAGAAUAUCUAAAAAAACUGACUUAACAGUACAAGUAAUAUUAAAAAAAAAACUUUAUGAACAUAUUUUAAAUUUCUGGUUUUCGUAGUAAAUUUAUCUAAUUUCUUAUAACUGCAUGGAGAAGAUACCAUACAUAACUAUUUUAUGUGUGUUCUAUUGUACCUGGAUCUACACAAAAAAUAUCUUUCUUUCUCGUUGAAAUGAGUGGAAGAAAAUCCAUGUUAUGAAUAAUAUAUGGACUUAAACAUGUUUUCCUUUUUUCUCUUGAGAGAUAUUUCAGCACCAUUAUAACAUUAUAUUUUUAGAUUGUAAAACAAACGUAUGUGGAAGACAUGGUGCAUGUGUCAACAGCCUGACAGGGUACGCAUGUCGAUGUUAUACAGGAUAUACCGGAGCGGCAUGUCAAAAUGGUA